GCAACACACGAGAUCAUGCCCGCCGAGGCACUGCAAAAACCCUGCGACUCCGUGCGAGCCCCUCCAGAGUCUCAAGCAAAUAACUCAAAAUCAUGAGGCGCAGCGGCAACGCUAAACUCCUUUACGUUGGGUUGUGUCCAGCUCUCUCGAGUCCUGCCACUUCUGAGCUUCGCCCUGCAAAAUACUGCUGCUCAACGCCGCAUUUGAAGGACUGGCAUGCUGCCCGCAUCCACCCUUGGUUUUGGUUUUUGUUCCCCUCGGGAGCAACGCCGGGUGCUGCAGUGGCGAUGCUCAAGCGGCUGUCCUUCCAGCUUCAGUCCUGUUCCAAACCAGUCCAAGUUCAGGGAAUGCUUUAAUGUGUUGUUUGUGGAUUCGAGGUCCUCCACGAAGGACGGUUGUCGAAGUGGAAGUUUUUUCUUGGCUUUGCUGAUUAGAAAAGAUAGACUCUGAUGGCAGUUUUCGCACCACUGAUGCUAUUGCACAAUUGUCAAAUUUGAAGAUACUCAACAAUUGGGCGUAUUUUGGUGACCACUGUAAACUCUUCGCUUCUGAAGGGGAUAUCAUCAGACAUUUUAAACUGACAGCAUUGAAUGAU